CCUUACCCACCUUUGACAUGUACGGAAUCCUUUAGAGAUAGAGGAGUGCUCGAAAGAGAGCCGUAACACAGGUGCUGCAUGGCUGUCGUCAGCUCGUGUCGUGAGAUGUUGGGUUAAGUCCCGCAACGAGCGCAACCCUUGCCAUUAGUUGCUACGAAAGGGCACUCUAAUGGGACUGCCGGUGACAAACCGGAGGAAGGUGGGGAUGACGUCAAGUCCUCAUGGCCCUUAUAGGUGGGGCUACACACGUCAUACAAUGGCUGGUACAGAGGGUUGCCAACCCGCGAGGGGGAGCUAAUCCCAUAAAGCCAGUCGUAGUCCGGAUCGCAGUCUGCAACUCGACUGCGUGAAGUCGGAAUCGCUAGUAAUCGCGGAUCAGAAUGUCGCGGUGAAUACGUUCCCGGGUCUUGUACACACCGCCCGUCACACCAUGGGAGCGGGUUCUGCCAGAAGUAGGUAGCCUAACCGUAAGGAGGGCGCUUACCACGGCAGGGUUCGUGACUGGGGUGAAGUCGUAACAAGGUAAGCGUAGACGU
rnacentral:rRNA from 1 species